GGAUUUGCCAUCGGUCCCGCUGCAGAUCUUGGGAAUGAAGCAGCACACGGGCUGGCAGCACAGCUGCUGCAGUUGUCAGUUGUGUACGGACUGCGCUGGGCCAGGCCCAGCCCUGCUGUGAAACCAACCCGGAGGAGGCACAGAGAGAUGAGGACACAAAUAUGACCUGCUAGUUCAGAAACAUUUUAACCAGGAGUGCAGCGUGGAAAAUGCCAUUUAAGAAAAGGUUGAUGCUACUCCAGCCAGAGAUUCUCCCACUGGGAGCUGCUGUAACCACUGCACUCUUAUCCAGCUCUACUUUCAAUCUAAGGCAGCCCUGAGCAUCUCUCUGGGACUGGCACCCCAGCAUACUGCAAUGGCACCACCAGCAGUGCCUGAGUCAGAGCCUGCAGCUGUUCUGGCUGCCUGCCUGGAGGCCGGAGCCGCGACACAG